rnacentral:rRNA from 1 species
GCUAAUGCCGUGCCAGGGGCAGCGGUAAUAGGGGGGGUGCAAGCUUUAAUCGGAAUUACUGGGCGGAAAGCGUGCGCAGGCGGCUUAUUAAGUCAGAUGUGAAAUCCCUAGGCUCAACCUAGGAACUGCAUUUGAAACUAAUAAACUAGAGUAUCGUAGAGGGAGGUAGAAUUCCAGGUGUAGCGGUGAAAUGCGUAGAUAUCUGGAGGAAUACCAGUGGCGAAGGCGACCUCCUGGACGAAAACUGACGCUCAAGCACGAAGGCAUGGGGAGCAAACAGGAUUAGAUACCCCAGUAGUC